CAUUUUAGCAAGUUCUGUCAAUAUCAAAAGGGUAUUUGUGUUCUAUGAAACAAAUGAUUACCUACUUUAUAACUAAAUGUUUCUCAUUCAACUACAGGGAAGCUAUGCUUGCACUAGGAAUUUGAAAUGAAGAGCCACUGUGGCUCACUCAUAAGAAUAACAAUGAGCCACCUUUUGUUAAUGGAAUAUUUUGUCCAUUGGGCAAGUGGUUUUGAACUUGUUUUCAUCUCUUUGUAGGUCCUCCCAAGGAUUACGUCUGAAGCAGACAGAUCUUAUUGAAGAUGGUGUUGCAGGCAGUAGCAGGACCUUAACCAAGAUGGCUUCAUCUCUGAGAAAAGUCUGCAAUCGUGCUGUGUGCAAACUUCGAGUUCAAGGUCAAAUGAAAGUUGGUGGCCAUCAUUGCUUUGUUAUGCUGGACGAAAGCAAGUUCUCACACAAAAGAAAGUACAACCGGGGGAGAAUGGGACCAGCAUGGAGACGGAAUAAAAAAUGGGUAUUUGGUAUGCUGGAAGUAGGGCAG